rnacentral:rRNA from 1 species
GCAACCUGGCGGCGAGUGGCGAACGGGUGAGUAAUAUAUCGGAACGUACCCUGGAGUGGGGGAUAACGUAGCGAAAGUUACGCUAAUACCGCAUACGAUCUAAGGAUGAAAGUGGGGGAUGCGCAAGCACCUCAUGCUCCUGGAGCGGCCGAUAUCUGAUUAGCUAGUUGGUGAGGUAAUGGCUCACCAAGGCGACGAUCCGUAACUGGUCUGAGAGGAUGAUCAGUCACACUGGAACUGAGACACGGUCCAGACUCCUACGGGAGGCAGCAGUGGGGAAUAUUGGACAAUGGGCGAAAGCCUGAUCCAGCCAUGCCGCGUGUGUGAAGAAGGUCUUCGGAUUGUAAAGCACUUUAAGUUGGGAGGAAGGGCAUUUACCUAAUACGUAAGUGUUUUGACGUUACCGACAGAAUAAGCACCGGCUAACUCUGUGCCAGCAGCCGCGGUAAUACAGAGGGUGCAAGCGUUAAUCGGAAUUACUGGGCGUAAAGCGCGCGUAGGUGGUUCGUUAAGUUGGAUGUGAAAUCCCCGGGCUCAACCUGGGAACUGCAUUCAAAACUGACGAGCUAGAGUAUGGUAGAGGGUGGUGGAAUUUCCUGUGUAGCGGUGAAAUGCGUAGAUAUAGGAAGGAACACCAGUGGCGAAGGCGACCACCUGGACUGAUACUGACACUGAG